GCUUUAGGGCUAGCGUUAUUUUAGAUUACCGGAGGUAAAGCACUGAAUGGUCUAGGGGCCGCGAGGUUACCAAAGCCUAUCAAACUCUGAAUGCCGGAUAAUUGAUGAAUAGCAGUCAGACUGUGUGAGAUAAGUCUCAUAGUCAAAAGGGAAACAGCCCAGAUCUACAGCUAAGGUCCCAAAUGAACACUAAGUGGAAAAUGAUGUGAAACUGCGAAGACAACCAGGAUGUUGGCUUAGAAGCAGCCACUCAUUCAAAGAGUGCGUAAUAGCUCACUGGUCGAGUGGUUUUGCGCAGAAAAUGUAACGGGGCUAAGUGUUCAACCGAAGCUUAGGCAUUGCAGUAAUGCAUUGGGUAGGGGAGCGUCGUAUGCGGGGCGAAGUCAGAGCGGAAGCACUGGUGGACUGCAUACGAGUGAGAAUGCCGGAAUAAGUAGCGAGAAUUAUGUGAGAAUCAUAAUGGCCGAAAAUCUAAGGUUUCUUGGGGAAGGUUCGUCCGCCCAAGGUAAGUCGGGAGCUAAGCUCAGGCCGAGAGGCGUAGGCGAUGCACAUACGGUAGAAAUUCCGUAACCACCGAACAUUUAAGCUAGAGGGACGCUUUCAUUAAGUCUAUCCCGGGCGAUGGUUGCCCCGGGCGUAAGGGACCGAAAUUUAGUAGGGAAGUAGACGGCGUGAGAGACGAGAAAAGCUCUAGUGUAUACUAAGGUGCCCGUACCGCAAACCGACACAGGUAGAUGGGAUGAGUAUUCUAAGGCCAACGGGAGAAGGGUUGUUAAGGAACUCGGCAAAUUGGCCCCGUAACUUCGGGAUAAGGGGCGCCUGCGAGAGCAGGCCGCAGUGAAAAGGCCCAAGCGACUGUUUAGCAAAAACACAGCUCUCUGCUAAAUCGAAAGAUGACGUAUAGGGGGUGACGCCUGCCCGGUGCUGGAAGGUUAAGGGGAGUGCUUAGCAGCAAUGCGAAGGUGCGAACUUAAGCCCCAGUAAACGGCGGCCGUAACUAUAACGGUCCUAAGGUAGCGAAAUUCCUUGUCAGGUAAGUUCUGACCCGCACGAAUGGCGUAAUGAU
rnacentral:rRNA from 1 species